rfam:Tetragenococcus muriaticus 3MR10-3 WGS_Sequence034_188, whole genome shotgun sequence.
ACGAUAUUCCGCUGAGAGAAGCUUCUCAAGAGUAUUUG